GGCCUGGUGGCGAAAUGGUAUCGCGUCAGAUUUCGGCAACGGAAUCCAUUAUCUCUGAAGAUUGCGGGUUCGAGUCCCGUCUGGGUCG
rnacentral:tRNA from 2 species